GCCAACGACGAUAAAUUCUGGAAGCGCUGUGGAGUUUGUUUGCAUUUCAAUUGCAGUUGGUCGCUAAAAUUGUAGAAAAAAUGUCUCGGAACGUGACACUCUCGGAUGAGCAAAGCAGGCUGAAUGCGCGUCUGGAGGCGCAUAUGGUUUACAUAUGUCCGGAAUGCGGCAAGGCCUUCCGUACUCAGGCUGAGUGGCGACAGCAUCUGAACACGAAACACGACUAUCUAAAGAAGACGUACUCGGACUUCAACUUCAUUCAGAUCGACGAGCGCUUCCACGAGUGCCAGCUGUGCUUCAAGUGGGUGGAAAACGCCCACAAGACAAUCGCCCUGUUGCAGUACCACUACUUCAUGCACCUGGAACACAGUGAGACCUACCGGUGCGUACACUGCCGCAUGGCGUACACGAGACGCCGGGCUCUGAAUGUCCACCUACUAGACACGCACAUGCGGGAGAUCGAGAAGUACGAGAACAAGCUGCGUCAAAUGAAGCGGCAGCAGACAAAAACCACCACUGCGGCAGCAACUGCUGGAAGUGCAGAGAAGGCGACGUCUGUAAGGCCUCGAGGGCGUCCCAAAGGUUCAGCGAACAGAAAGCAAAAUGACCUGCUGCAAAAGGCGCUGAUGGACAUUGAUCUGAACACAGAAUUGGAAAAGUCCCCAACACGGCCAGUGGCAGCACUAGCAGCUCCUGCAAACGCCCCUAAGACCAUUUCAAAUGUCAGCGAGCAGAAUCUAGACCGGUGUUUGAAUGCCUACGAGGACAUCGUGCGCAAGGAAAAGGAAAAGGAUGAGGUGCCAAAGUAUGACGACGAGUUGGAUGCCCUUUGCAAGGAAUUUUUUGAGGAUGGCACCACCCCCGGCAACGUAAAAGCUGAUGAGAAGCGGUCUCAAGACGAGGCGCAUCUGCAGCAACGAAAUCAAGAGGUGGUCAUCAUCGAGAUUGAUGCACUCGGCAAGGAGGAAGUGGCCCAGUUAAAAAAGGAAAUGAAGUCAGACCCAGUAAGUCAACCGGCUAAACGACGGCGCCUGUCAACGACGCCCAGUCGCGACUCCGACACGGAAAUGUCCACCAACGGCCUCACGAAGCUCAUUUCGUACUUGUGUCCAAAGUGCGGCAAAGAGAUUGCCUCGAUGGACGGGUGGCGAACACACGUGUUCAAGAAACACGACUUUGAGCACAUCAUCGAGAACAGUUUUAAGAUUCUGGAGUCUGGGCGCAAGGCCAUGUGCCUGCAGUGCCAUGAGGUGCAACCAACGACUAUGCGCUCACAACUGCAGAAGCACUGCUUUAAGCAUCUGCCUUACCGGUCCUAUCUCAAGUGCACACUCUGUGAUCGCACUAAGACCAGCACCUCAAAGAUCCUCAACCACAUUCGCUACAACCACCAGGAGGAGCUGCAGCGUAAAAACAAGACGCAGCUGCUUAUUAAGCCGGAGCCUAUGUGGGCCAGUCCCAAUAAGUCGAAUCAAGCGGCCAUGGCGGAUGACGCCGGAUCCGAUGACGAGGACGAUCAGGGCGAGCAAGCUGUGUGCGAUCACUGUGACAGAGUGUUUCGAAACAAAUGGCGUUAUGAAAGACACAUUGCCCCUUGCAGGAGAGGCGGAGUAAGAAAGCCAGUCGAAGGGACCGUUGAAGCCAUGUUGAACCAUCUGCGAGACGGACACAUGCGAAUGAAUGCAAUCUGGAAGGUGAUGCAACGUGAAAAGUCUUAGGUAUCGUCUAGCUAAAGUUAAGUCGAUCCACAAUUUUGGCAAUUAUCCACAUGUGUAAAAUAUUCGUAGGUUGCCAAGUUCUUUAUUUUAUGACGAUAUGAAGGCUAAUAAUAGAUACUUUUACCUCCCUUCUCAUAAAUAUCUUUUUUUUGCUGUAAAUAUAGGCUGCAUUUUAAUUUGGAAGAGGAUCGAUGAAGACAUUUAAAUUCAUGGGCACGACCUUUGACAGUGUCUUAAGGAGCAGUAGCGGUUUUGGUUGCCGCCACAUCCGAGGUACUUCAUCUUGAUGCACCUCCCGGAUCUCUGGUUAUAGUACCACAUUUCGUCCAUGGCAGUUCUGUGGCAAUGCCCUCCCCCACGUCCUUCGUUCUUGCCGCCGACGCAAUUCUGACGCCCUGUGUGAAUGACGUCCAUCGCAGCGAUCCUGGGCAUAGGCGAGAGAAGCGUAGAGGACAACGCAAGCUAGAACCAAAAGUAACUUCAUUUUGGAGGGUCGACUUGAUUUGACUGAUCUGUAAUAUGAUGGGCUUAUAUAGGUGGGACUGCCAACAGAUUUAUCAGUUCUCGAGAACGAGUAAAAACGUCUUCACAAUGAAAUCUAUUGUUAAAUAUUUUUGGGCGAUCAGAUAAUGGUACAAAAAGGGCUUUUGAAAGUCGUAAGAUGUAGGAUGAAUAAUAAUAAUAAAAUAGUUGCUUUAAUGAAAA